UACGUAGGGGGCAAGCGUUGUCCGGAAUUAUUGGGCAUAAAGAGCGUGUAGGCGGCCAGAUAAGUCCGCUGUGAAAUCUCGAGGCUCAACUUCGAGCUGUCGGUGGAAACUAUCUGGCUAGAGUCCGGAAGAGGAGAAUGGAAUUCCUGGUGUAGCGGUGAAAUGCGCAGAUAUCAGGAAGAACACCCGUGGCGAAGGCGGCUUUCUGGGACGGUACUGACGCUGAGACGCGAAAGCGUGGGGAGCGAACAGG
rnacentral:rRNA from 1 species